AGAGAACUUGCAAUAACAAACCACCUGAUUGCAUUGGAUGUAGCCUGUAUUUCGUGAAACACACUGUACAUGAAGCCCAGAUAAAAGGAUCAAGUAGCUUGUGGAACUACAAAGAAAUUCGCCUGAUCUUGGACGUCGCUGUGUACUUGAUGAAAAACAGAUAUUCUCCUGCUGACGUGACAGUGCUUUGCCCUUACCGUGGACAGGU